UACAGAGGUCUCAAGCGUUGUUCGGAUUCAUUGGGCGUAAAGGGUGCGUAGGCGGCGCGGUAAGUCGGGUGUGAAAUCUCGGAGCUUAACUCCGAAACUGCAUUCGAUAUUGCCGUGCUUUAGGACUGGAGAGGAGACUGGAAUUUACGGUGUAGCGGUGAAAUGCGUAGAUAUCGUAAGGAAGACCAGUGGCGAAGGCGGGUCUCUGGACAGUUCCUGACGCUGAGGCACGAAGGUCAGGGGAGCAAACGGG
rnacentral:rRNA from 1 species